GAUGAAGAACGUAGCGAAAUGCGAUAAGUAAUAUGAAUUGCAGAAUUCAGUGAAUCAUCGAAUCUUUGAACGCACCUUGCGCCUUUUGGUAUUCCGAAAGGCACACCUGUUUGAGCGUCAUGAAUACCUCAAUCUCCAUCUUUUCUUCGGAUUGAUGGGUGACUUGGAUGUUGAGCCCUGCUGGUAUGCUAUAUCAGCUGGCUUUAAACUUAUUAGCCGGCUCUGUACUGGAUCGGUUUGACUCGACGUGAUAAUAUUAUCGUUGAGGAUGCAUGUCUCAUGCAGCCGGAAAGUAUCAAAGCAGCUUCUAGCUUGCCUUUAGUGCACUUUUACAUUUUAGACCUCAGAUCAGGUGGGACUACCCGCUGAACUUAAGCAUAUCAAUAAGCGGAGGA
rnacentral:misc_RNA from 1 species